rnacentral:rRNA from 1 species
GACGAACGCUGGCGGCGUGCUUAACACAUGCAAGUCGAACGGAAAGGCCCUGCUUUUGUGGGGUUCUCGAGUGGCGAACGGGUGAGUAACACGUGAGUAACCUGCCCUUGACUUUGGGAUAACUUCAGGAAACUGGGGCUAAUACCGGAUAGGAGCUCCUGCUGCAUGGUGGGGGUUGGAAAGUUUCGGCGGUUGGGGAUGGACUCGCGGCUUAUCAGCUUGUUGGUUGGGUAGUGGCUUACCAAGGCUUUGACGGGUAGCCGGCCUGAGAGGGUGACCGGCCACAUUGGGACUGAGAGACGGCCCAGACUCCUACGGGAGGCAGCAGGGGGGAAUAUUGCACAAUGGGCGGAAGCCUGAUGCAGCAACGCCGCGUGCGGGAUGACGGCUUUCGGGUUGUAAACCGCUUUCGCCUGUGACGAAGCGUGAGUGACGGUAAUGGGUAAAGAAGCACCGGCUAACUACGUG